UACGGAGGGUGCGAGCGUUGCUCGGAAUCACUGGGCGUAAAGCGUACGCAGGCGGACCGCUAAGUCGGGUGUGAAAGCCCGGGGCUCAACCCCGGAAAUGCAUUCGAAACUGACGGUCUUGAGUACGGGAGAGGGAGGUGGAAUUCCUGGUGUAGAGGUGAAAUUCGUAGAUAUCAGGAGGAACACCGGUGGCGAAAGCGGCCUCCUGGCCCGAUACUGACGCUCAUGUACGAGAGCGUGGGGAGCAAACAGG
rnacentral:rRNA from 1 species